GCAGAAUUCCUGCUUUUGUAUCUGGCUACGAGUGUUUAUGCUGUAUUCCAUCCCUGUUGGCCUGAAUGUGUACAACUCCUUUCUAAAGGCUGAAUUCACAGUCUGUAUUUCCAUGCUGCUACUUUAGAACAGCUUUUAUCUGCAACUAGCUGAACUCUGUACUUUUGGAAAAUAGCCACGUCACGUGAGUGCCUCAGUGUCUGGACAUAAAAACCAUCAUCUCUACAAACACAGAAUGAAGAUGCAGGAUUGUUCUGGACAUAGGAAUCCAUGGAUUGGUAAAAAAGAUGCUACACUUUCAAUAAGUUGGGAAGAGCUUAAGUCUGCCUCUGACAGAUAGCAGAGCUUAUGGAAAACCUGGGCAAAUGAACUGGAGCUCAACAGUGCAGAAGAAAUAUUUCACAUAUAAACUGGCACUAACUAGCA